rnacentral:rRNA from 1 species
CAAAAACAUCGCCUCUUGCAAAACAACAUAUAAGAGGUCCCGCCUGCCCUGUGAUAAUAAAUUUAACGGCCGCGGUAUUUUGACCGUGCGAAGGUAGCGAAAUCACUUGUCUUUUAAAUGAAGACCUGUAUGAAUGGCACGACGAGGGCUUAACUGUCUCCUUUUUCAAGUCAAUGAAAUUGAUCUCCCCGUGCAGAAGCGGGGAUAAAGACAUAAGACGAGAAGACCCUAUGGAGCUUUAGACACCAGAAUAGACCAUGUUAAACACCCCUAGAAAACGGGCUAAACCAAAUGAGACCUAUUCCAUUGUCUUUGGUUGGGGCGACCGCGGGGAAACAAAAAACCCCCACGUGGAAUGGGAGUACUACUCCUAAAACUAAGAGCUCCCGCUCUAGAAAACAGAAUUUCUGACCAGUAAGAUCCGGCAACGCCGAUCAACGGACCGAGUUACCCUAGGGAUAACAGCGCAAUCCCCUUUUAGAGCCCAUAUCGACAAGGGGGUUUACGACCUCGAUGUUGGAUCAGGACAUCCUAAUGGUGCAGCCGCUAUUAAGGGUUCGUUUGUUCAACGAUUAAAGUCCUACGUGAUCUGA